GAAGCAUUUUUUAUGUGCUACCAGCUACCUGGAGGCCUUGGGCUGCUUGUCUUCUGGGCAGAGCUUCCACACAAACAGUAGGUACCGGCCAUUCUUCUUGUCCCUGGAGCAAGGGAGAAGAGUCCAUUCCCAGUCUGGGCUGCUGUGGCAGAUGGUUUCCCCAUCCUGUCACCUCGGAAACUCCAAUACUGUCUUACAGGCAGGUAUUUACUUUUUGUUAAAAAAAAAAGCAUGCCACAUGACAGCAAUCUCCGGUUUCAACGUUGACAAGAGAGAAUGAUGCUAUUUCUAAAAAGAAAGUGAAUAGAAAUUAGCCUGGCCCAUUUGCUAAAGCGCUUAAAUAUAAUCCCAUGGUCUUGAUUUUAUUCUAUUUUACAAACAAUUGAGAUUCAGCUAUCGAUGGCUGUUUAUUGGACUAUUAUUAGCUGAGUUUUUAUUAAUUAAUUGUUAGUGUGACAGAUUUCUAGAUCUUUUUGCUUCUUUCUUCUGUUUGUUUUCUCUAUUCUUUUCAGACAGGGUCCCAAGAGCUUCUGCUCGCCUGACACAGUUGGGUUUGAGCUCCUCCUGUCCCCAUCCUGAGUGCUGAGAUAGCAGGCAUGCACUGGCAUGCCCAAUUUCAAAUUGUGUUUUUUAAUUUGAAAUUUGAAAAAGAAAAUGAGAAACCUCUGAUAAACUCACAUGUGGCUAACAGCAUGGACCUGUAUUUCCGUAAGCCUCGUCCCCUCAGAGUUCAGCUAACCUGGAUCUAUUUAGUGACGACAAAUUGACUUAUAUAAACCUUUUCCUUUUUUUUUUUUUGUUUUUGUUUUUCGAGACAGGGUUUCUCUGUAUUGUUUUGGUGGCUGUCCUAGAACUCUCUCCAUAGACCAGGCUGGCCUCUGCCUCCCGAGUGCUGGGAUUAAAGGAGUGCGCCAUCAGCGCCUGGCAACCUUUUCCAAUAAAUUUCUGUCCUUUAAAUGUGAACUGGUUUUCACGUUAAUCCUCCUGGACUCCUAGUCCCACCUAUCUAGAUUCCUAUUGGCCAGACAGUGCUUUAUUAACAUAAGACUUCCCCAACACCAGCCUUGUUAUGAGGAUUGUACAUGCUGUGAAGACUCCAUAUUGGACCCAUUCCUGGAUAAGAGCAGAGUUGUCACCCGAUGAAACCAAGGGAAGUGGCCAGCUCACCCCGCUUAACUCCUUAACUGUGUAAUGACAAAAAUUUCAGGAUACAAAUGUAAACGUAUGAAGAGAAUGCUUCAUAUAAAACGUGAAUAAAAUAAUAAGAGCAGGGAAAAUAACGGAAGAACCGGAUUCUUCAUACAUCUGUAUGUUCAUUCCAUCUCCUACCCAGUGCAGGGAUAUUUCAACUAUGGUUUCCAGCCCCAUGUUGCUGAGGGUUUCUCUGUGUUAAACUCACCUACAUCUGCACAGAUCCGUGCGUGACUGACCUCCUGGGUUACUGUGAGGAUGGGGUAGAUGAAAAUGAAACUGACCAAGCGUGUCGAUUACUGGGUGAUGACGACACUGCUGUUGGGUACUGGGGUUUCCCCUGGUGGCCGCUGUGGUUUGGCAAGGGCCUGCUUCUGUACUCUCUGUCAUUGCCGCGUUGACCUUGAUGGGAGCAGUGUCUGUCAGGGUGCUGGAGGAAGACACCAAGCACUCCUCGGCAAAGGCACUAACCUGCACUGACUGGAAGACGAUGAUGCAGCAGGGCACCUGCAAGUCUUUGAGUUGAAGUCCAUACAACUACUACUGCCAAGCCUUUAAAGCUCAGAGGUGGCUCCUGUAGCUCACACGGUGUUUACAUCAGUCUCACGGCUGAAACUCCUUGGUUUGAUCCAACAUGUGUCUGAAGAAUGUUAUAUGGUGCCUGACUCCUCUGGUAGCGUGAAGCCCUGGCUCUUGUGUCUUAUCUACGGUCGGCUUGUCUACUUUGUGCCUUCAUCAUCCAUUGAACUGACUCCUUUUGCUGAGUUGAAUGGAAAAGGUCUUCCCACACAUCAAGCAAUUCCAUUUCUCUUCACAAGUAGAAAGUGUUUGCAACUAUCCUUAUUGUAUUCAGAGUGGGUUUUCUUGGAUUCAUGCCCAGAAAGUUUAUUUUGGUGUAGAGUAGGCUGAUUUUCUAAUUUUCUGUACAUCUCUUCAUAGCAUUUACCAAACUGUUUACUGGAGACUUCAGCUAGGUUAGGGUCUGUGUAAAUGCGGCAAAGCCUGAAAAUACUCGUCAUCUAAAAUUCUUUAACACAUUUGUUACUUACUUCUAGAGAAGUGAUUUCCAUACCACCUGAAACUGUCCUGGGAAUAGUGUUUUGAAUUCUCAAAACCACGGACUCUUCUGGCAAAUUCUGUUGUUUAUUUUUGUAGUUUAGAGCCUUUACAUUGUGACUUCAUUUUAUCAUCAUAGUAUGAUAGUUUGGAGCCUUGAUAGCACUCUAAUUACAUGUCUAUUUCCUUUUUGCCAAAGUAGUACUUACCAUGCCAGCCUCCCCGCUAUGGAAUGUGGGUGACGGGCUGAAAUUGGCAUUGUGGUAGGCAAUACAAUAUUUUAAGGGCUAAUAAUACGGAUAUUAAAAUAUUUUCCCAAGUUAAA